rnacentral:snoRNA from 1 species
ACGACCUUAUCUAUUCUAUAGGCUCGUACUACUGUAUCCUUGAGUUCUAAGGAGACAGAAAAUCAAGUCUAGUUGAUGACGCAUGACUAUUGGACCAGAGCGUGAUCAACAGCUCCCACGACCCUCGGGUCAUGGUGCCGUAGAAGAUCUUUCUCAACUAGGAUUGUGUAUUUAGAUCAGAUA